rnacentral:tRNA from 1 species
UGGGGUGUCGUCAAGCGGUAAGACACGGGCCUUUGGAGCCCGUAUUCGGAGGUUCGAAUCCUCCCACCCCAGCCA